rnacentral:rRNA from 1 species
CCUACGGGAGGCAGCAGUAGGGAAUAUUGCUCAAUGGGGGAAACCCUGAAGCAGCAACGCCGCGUGGAGGAUGAAGGUCUUCGGGUUGUAAACCUCUUUUGUUAGAGAAGAUAAUGACGGUAUCUAACGAAUAAGCAACGGCUAAAUUCGUGCCAGCAGCCGCGGUAAUACGGAGGGUGCAAGCGUUACUCGGAAUAACUGGGCGUAAAGGGCGCGUAGACGGGUUAGCAAGUCAGAUGUGAAAGCCUAUGGCUUAACCAUAGAACUGCAAUUGAGACUGGUAUUCUAGAGUAUGGGAGAGGUAGGUGGAAUUCUUGGUGUAGGGGUGAAAUGCGUAGAUAUCAAGAAGAAUACUCAUUGCGAAGGCAGCCUGCUAGAACAUAACUGACGCUGAUGCUCGAAAGCGUGGGGAGCAAACAGGAUUAGAUACCCUAGUAGUC